rnacentral:lncRNA from 1 species
UCAUAUCAGAGAUUGCCACAGACACCCAGGGCAAUGUGAUUUGUCACUUAAAGAGGACGGCAGAUCAAGAGCAUCUCAUCCUCCGGCUGCUGAGUCAUCCUGCUCUGGCAGUUAUUUAAACAGAAGGCUCCAGGAGACAUACAAUCAACACUCCACUCAGACAAUGCCCAGACCUCCAGAAACCAUGUGUCAAGCUCGGAUUGCCUUAGACAGGUGCAAUUUAAGAACAGCUUUCAUCCUCUUUUCUCUCAUAUUGUCACACUAUGUGUUCUGACUUCUGGCUCCUUUCCUCACAAGAAGCUCACCCAGCUGGAACUCUUAUGGGACCUUGGCACCAGAGACCACAAAUUCCUCUUUGAAGUUUUCUAACAGCAACAAUGGUAUUUCUGACUUGGCUUUCUUGUAUUUCUCUCACGUUAACAAAAUUGGUUCAGCAUCUACCAUGGGCUACAUGCUGAGCUACAGAGUUUCGCUCUGUCGCCCAGGCUGGAGUGCAGUGGCGCGCGAUCUCGGUUCACUGCAAGCUCCACCUCCCGGGUUCACGCCAUUCUCCUGCCUCAGCCUCCUGAGUAGCUGGGACUACAGGCGCCCGCCACCACACCCAGGAAUCCAACUUGCUGUUUGCUAUCACAUGUGCUAUACAUGCUGUUGAUGAAACUGCUAAAGGGGCUGAAUGUGACUGACGUCUUUGGAAGGAUGAGACUUAGCGUGCCUGUACAGUUGUGUCCAAAUGCUGUCCUCAUCUCCCAAUGAAAAGGGUUUUUCCUUAAGCCUCACAACAAUUUACAGCAUUGCCAGCAGCAUUCAGUACAUUCAGAACAGGAUAAUUUCACCCGCAGCUGAACUAGGGCCAUGCCUGGGACAGACAGAGAAUGGCCUUCCAGCAGACAUGCCAAGAAGCAAGCCAGGGUCAGUGAGUGAAGAGGAGGGCAGGCCCAUUUGAAGCAACACAGUUUAUGUAAGUGUGAUCUAACUGCUUUCACUGGAAAUGGGUCAGACUCCAGUUGAGAGAACCAGGGGCCUGAAUGACCCCAGCAAAAUCACUGUGGCAAUUCUUUCAAUCACCUCUGAGAAUAUGGCCCUGUGACGACAUAAUGACGUUUGGAUUAAUUCCAGUCGGCUGUGUUUUCCCCUCCUUUCUUGCCUCCCCGUAGUUGAUUUGCCAAAUUUUUUUUGUUUGCUUAAAUACGCGGAACUAAACAGGAUACAUUAUAUGACAGUCUGUGAUAAAUUUACCACUGGGAAUAGGGAAAAAGUAUGGGAUAAAGAAAUAGGUAUUUUUCGCCUCUCACAGCUGUGAUUCAGUUCUGACUCAAAAGGAAGUGUGCCACCUACUGAAUCACAGAAACCACUUCCUGUGGCUGUUUGGUUUAUUCUGGAGGAGCAUCAGGCCAAGUGCUGCCCUGCCCUGACCCUGACUGGCUCUUCAGAGCCAAGGCAUUCACAGCUUGAGGUGGUUUGGCCUCAGACUCUUGAGAACAUUGCAUAUUAAAUUACAAGUGUUUCGUUUCCUAGCAAGGAGUCUUUAGCAACAUGAAAACGAACGUGUGUUAUUUGCAAACCAAGUAUAUCAUUACUGAACCUGAAUAUCCUUACUUUUUCAUAAGGUACGUAUUCCGGAUGACCACUCUUAAGAUCUGAAUGUACACUGGUUCUGUUUUUCCUGAGGGGAACUUGGGCAGUCUGCAGGGUGGCAUUUACCAGCUGAGGGACUUCAAGAGCACCCUUUAAUCAGUGUGGCAGCACUCAACUUGUAUUCACUCACUCAGAGUAUUUUUGAGCAUGUACUUAUUGCCAUGUGCUGUGCUAGGUAGGGGUAGAGGGUACAGUGGUGAACAAGACCCCACAGCUCCUGACCUCAUGGCUCAUGUGUUCUACACCAUAAGGGAAUCAAGCUGUGUCUCCCGGGGCAGGGGCCUUCCUCUGUUCACCAUGCAGCCCCAGCAUCUAGCACCUGGCGUUGCAUAAAGGAGGCUCUAAAUCAAGCUUGUCCAACCCAAGGCCCACGGGCCACAUGUGGCCCAGGAUGGCUUUGAAUGCAGCCAAACACAAAUUUGUAAACUUUCUUAAAACAUUAUAAGAUUUGUGUGUAUGUGUUUUAGUCCAUCAGCUAUUGUUAGUGUUCAUGUAUUUUAUGUGUGGCCCAAGACAAUUCUUCUAUGUGGCCCAAGGAAACCAAAGAUUGAACACUCCUGCUCUAAAUACUUGUUUGUUGAAUAGAUACAUGAAAAGAAAGAAGGAGAGAAGGAAGAAAGGAGGGCGGAAGGAAAGGAAGAAGGGAGAGAAGAAGAGAAGAAAGAAGCAGAGAAAGGAAGAGAAAAGAAAUUACGGCCAGUGCGGUGGCUCACGCCUGUAAUCCUAGCACUUUGGGAGGCCUAAGCGGGCUGAUCACCUGAGGUCAGGAGUUCGUAAGCCAGCCUGGCCAACAUGGUGAAACCCUAUCUCUACUAAAAAUACAAAAAUCAGCAGGGCAUGGUGGUGCGUGCCUGUAAUCCCAGCUACCUGGGAGGCUGAGGUAGGAGAAUCGCUGGAACCCGAGAGGCGGAGGCUGCAGUGAGUUGAGAUCAUGUCACUGCACUCCAGGCUGGGCAACAGAGUGAGACUCUGUCUCAGAAAAAAAAAAAAAGAAAGAAAGAAAGAAAGAAAGUUACCAUUAGUUUUUUGUUGUAUUUGCAAGCAAAGACAAAAGCACCAAGGUACUUGUUUCCUUCUGUAAUUAGAGUUUCAAAUAGACUAAAAGUUUCUGCUCUUAGGUGGGUCUAGAGACUCUCCAGUACCUCAGGACCUCAGGACACAUGGGGUCUCUUGGUUGUUUUCUUUUCAUUGUUGUUGUUUAUUUUAUUUUUGUUUUUAUUUUUUAACUUUAAAACAAUUUUUUGUAGAUGAAUAUGCUUACAUAUGUUUGGGGGUUUUUUUGAGACAGGGUCUUGCUCUGUUGCCCAGGCUGGAGAGCGGUGGUUUAACCACAGCUCACUGCAGCCUCGACCUCCCAAGGUAGGGACUGCAGGUGUGUACACUGGGGUGCACCACCACACCCAGCUAAUUUUUAAAUUUUUUUUUGUAGAUAUUGUCUCACUCUGUUGGCCAGACUGGUCUUGAAAUCCUGGGCUCGAGCAAUUCUCCUGCCUCGGCCUCGUAACGCGUUAGGAUUACAAGCGUGAACACCGCACCUGGCCAGCAUGUGGUCUCUUAACCAGAGGAGGCCUCUUCUGAACUAGGUAGAGGUCCUGAGAAUUGAUUCUGAGAGUAAAAGGCUCUUUGUUCUCCUCAGAGUAGAUUAGAAUCCCUAAUGAUAGAGCAUCUAUUAUUCCUCUAGUGGUCCAUGCCCAACAGAUUCAUCCAAGAAUAGAUGAAGAUCUUUGUAAUGUUGUGCAAGUAAUCUAAUCACCCCACAGAAGAGCUGUGACUUAAAUUAUCCCAGAGUCGGCCCACCUGUUUUCAUAAAGAUCAAUGUAACUUGUAAAUUUCUUCAGUUCUCCUCACCUAUCAUCAUUUGACUAACAAAACCCAGAAAACUAGGCUAGUUAUGGUGGCCUAUGCAUAUAAUCCCAACUCUUUGAGAGGCCAGGGUGGGUGGAUUGCUUGAGUCCAGGAAUUCGAGACCAGCCUGGGCAACAAAGGGAGACCCUGCCUAUAUCCCAGCUAUGCAGGAGGCGAGGCCAGAGGAUUGCCUGAGCCUCAGAGGUUGAGGCUGUAGUGAGCCAUGAUUGCCCCACUACACUCCAGCCUGGAUGACAGAGUGAGACCCUGCCUUAAAAAUAAUAAUAAUAGUAAUAAUAUUUCAUAAAGAUACAGGAAACUAGAUUAUAAUUGACAUUUUCAAAGUGAAAUACUGUCUAGAAUGGUGCUUGGCCAACAGUAAGCUUUUUGUAAGUGGAAGUCAUUACUACUACUAUUUCUUUCAUUAUUAUUACCAUUACUACUUUUUUUUACAAAAAAAAAACCCUGGACAACACACUGAAACCAUUACUACUUCUACUACUAUAACUUAGGUUGCACCUGAUAGAGCCAGCAAUUUUUCCAAGGUAUGACAAUGGCCAUAUGUUUAAUGAUAUAAUUCUAUGGCUCAGUGUAUCUCAGCCUUUUUAAACCCUGCUCUUCUUUUGACAAUUGUAAAAAUCUUAAACUGACCUCCAGUUGAAAUCCUCUGUCAAGAAGAUAUUGUCGGCCAGGGGCGGUGGCUCACACCUGUAAUCCCAGCACUUUUGGAGGCCGAGGUGGGAGGAUCACUUGAGGUUAGGAGUUCAAGACCAGCCUGGCCAACAUAGUGAAACCCCAUCUCUACUAAAAAUACAAAAAUUAGGCAGGCAUGGUGGUGUGUGCCUGUAAUCCCAGCUACUCAGGAGGCUGAGGUAGGAGAAUUGCUUGAACCUGGCAGGGCAGAGGUUGCAGCAAGCCGAGAUCACGCCACUGCUCUCCAGCCUGGGUGAGACUGUCUCAAAAAAAAAAAAAAAAAAGAAAGAAAGUAAGAAAAAGAAGAAAUCCCAAUCUCUUCUUUUAUGUGGAUUCUUCCUCACUUGAAUAAUACUUUUCUUCCCCAGUAUUCUCCAUAUUAUCCCAGAGUCAGCCCCUCUGUUUUUGUAAAGAUCUACGUAACCUCCUCUAAGUUUCCCAGUUCUCCUCACCUAUCAUAUCAUUUGGCUCAACAAAGGGCAGGAAGCUAGAUUCUAAUUGAUAUUUUGAGGCCGGGAGCAGUGGCUCAUGCCUGUAAUCACAGCACUUUGGGAGGCUGAGGCGGGCAGAUCACUGGAGGUCAGGAGUUCGAGACCAGCCUGGCCAAUAUGGUGAAACCUCGUCUCUACUAAAAAUACAAAAAAUUAGCCAGGCUUGGUGGCUUGUACCUGUAAUCCCAGCUACUCAGGAGGCUGAGGCAGGAGAAUAGCUUAAACCUGGGAGGAAGAGGUUGCAGUGAGCCGAGAUUGCUCAAUUGCACCCCAGCCUGGGUGACAGAGCAAAACUCCAUCUCAAAAACAAACAAACGAACAAACCUGAUAUUUUCAAAAUUGAGGCAAUUAUAACAGCUAUUUAGCCAAGCAUUAUGAUAGCAAUAAUAGCAAGAAAAUAAAUUAGUUAACAAAUGAGUCUCAGAAGCCCAAUGAUUUUUAUUUUAUUUUUAUUUUUUGAACUUUUAUUUUAGAAUCAGGGGAUACAUGUGCAGGUUUGUUACCCGGGUAUAUUGCAUGAUGCUGAGUUUUGGAGUAUGCAUGAAUCCAACCUGUCAUCCAGGUAGUGAGUAUAGUACCCAACAGAUAGUUUUUUUAACAUUUACUUCACUCCCUUCCCCAAUCUUGUAUUCCCCUGUGUCUACUGUUCCCAUUUUUAUGACUGUGCCAACAAUAAUUUUUUUUCUUUUUUCUUUAAAUAGAGAUGGGGGUCUCUAUUUAAAGAGCCUCCCAAAGUGCUAGGAUUACAGGUGUGAUCCAUUGCACCUGGCCCAUGCCAACAAUAUUUGAAACCCUUAUCUGCGUGUACAAGUUUGCUACUGGUUUUGUUUUGCUCAUUAAUACAUCCCAAGCAUCUAUACCUGGCUUGUAGUACCAGCAUGUAGUAGGUGCUUAAUAAAUAUUUAUUGAAUAAAUAAAUUAGUUUGACAUUAGUUUAACAUCUCAAGUAAAACAAAAUACCAUUCAAUUAAUUCUCUUCUUCUACUUUUUUCUUUUAAGAGAGACAAAUAGUCACACAUACAUCAGCAGGAGAGGAUACAAUUUCCUGUGUUUAAGUUUUUAUGAGUUACUUUAGUUCAAAUGUCACAGAAAAUUAUAUUGAACUCUUGACCAAUCUAUCUAUUUUUUCCAUUGGAGUAUUGACCCAAAUAAGAAAUAGCAUAAAGGAAAAAUUAUUUUUUGGCAGAAAAAUAUUCUCUCUAAAUUCUUGUGUGUUUUGUUUUGAUUUUUUCCUUAGUGACUGGAGGCCAGUUUCAAUCCACUGAAGCACAGAUUCCAAAUUUUCAAUCUGGUUUUCUUGAGUAGUGACUGAGUGCCAAAAAUGAAGCAAUGACACAACAUCACCAUCAAGACACUCCCCAGCACGCACACACAUGCCAGAGUCCAACACCAAGAUACUCCCCAGCACGCACACACACGCCAGAGUCCAGGCCAUAUUCGGGUGGCUUGCAAGCUUCUUCCCCCCAAGUAUUUACUCUCAAAAUAAUGGUUUUUGUUUUGUUUUGGUUUGGUUUGGUUUGUUUUUUUCCAAAUACAUUUCUUCCCUAUAUCUUUAACCAAUUCUCAUAAAAUUUUGUCUAAUACACUGGUCAGUGUAUUCCAGACCCUAAAAGAUAACAUAAUGAAACUAUCUAUGACUAAAAGGUAAUCAGGAUCUUCUACUUAUCCUUUUUUCCUCCCUCUUAAACUUUAAUUUUGAUACAUUUGGGAGUGAAAUGAUGACAAUAAAUGCAAAGUAAUUAUUGAAGAAACAGUAAUUUUGUAUUAGCUUACUGAAAAAAAAAAAAAAGAUAACCAAAUAUAUUUUGGCAGCCCCAAACGAGUCACAUGUGAAAUGCAGUGGGAGAGCAGUGUCCUGAAGGAAAAGGUGGCCUGCUGGACAGCCAAGAGAACAAACAUCCACUGCAAGUAAUAUGAGCUCUAAGUUUGGACUAGGCCUAUGUCUGCUCUGAGACUUGGGGCAAUUCACUUAAUCAGAGCCUUAAUCAGCUACGGACUAGCAAUAUCCAUACCCGCUACUUAUUUUGUAAAUCUCCUUUCUAAAGUUAACUCUAUUUAUUGUUCCAUAAUCCCAUAAAUUCUAGAAUCUUUUCCUGUUAUAGCCAAGUUGUCUAUCAUUGACAGAGAUAUUCACCUGGUUGUUUUGGCUUCUCUAAUCCUCCUGGUGAGAACACCUCCAAGGGAGCUUUCAGUGGCAUUUAAGGUCACUUGUGCUCUUGGUCCUAGAAACUGCCUUGAUAGUGGUUUUAGCUCACAUGAGGUAAGUCUUUAUUAUAUGCCCAACCUCUUUAUGCAUUACUUCAUUUAAUUGUAUACUAAUCCUUUGUCAUAGGUUAUCAGAGUGUUUGAUUAUAAGUUACAGGAAGAAAAAAAAAAACAAACUCCAAUUGACUAAAACAAUGGGGCAUUUUUUGACUCACAUAACAGAGAGUCUAGAGAGAAGGCACCUUCAGGUUUGGCUGAUGAAUCCUGUAUCUCUGCCUUGUCUCCAGGCCCCCAGGUUCUGCCUCUGUCCUGACAUCCAGUGUUGGAUUCCUCUUCACAUCAACUCCUCUCUGUAGGUUGGGCCAUCAGACCCUACCUCCUUAUUUAUGUUGAGCAAAGGAGAGAGAAUGCCUCUACAAACAAUGAAAAAAGUGAAAAAAAAAAUCUUUCUCCUCCUUAUAACUUUAGUUAGCUUAACUUUAGUCAGUUGCUUAGCUACUAAACAGUAGCUAUUGGGAGGUGGGAAGGAAUACUAUUGUGUAAUCAACUAAGGCUCAUACAGAGGAUUAGGGUUAUCUGAAUUGAUUUGAAUUAAUUAGAAUUUACUCUCAGAGCUGUGGCAAUUCCUUGAACCACACUGAUUGCUAUAAAGUGGAAGAGGAAUAGAUUGAAUUUUGGGGAGUCAACUACAAUGUGUACUACAGGUAAAUACUAUGAAUUUCCAAUUCACAGAUGAGAAAACUGAGGCAUGUGGUGGGAGGGAGGUUAUGUAAUUUGCCCAGUGUCACAGUUGAACCUAGGCAAAGGCCUAUCUCCAGGUCUAAACAAUUCAGUGGCCUCCUGUGUACAUUUCUGUCUCUCCUUUUUUAUCCACUGUGUCACCGAGGCUGGAUUGCAGUGGCUCGAUCAUGGAGAUCAUGGCUUUCUGUAGCCUUGAACUCCUGGGCUCAAGUGAUCCUCCUGCCUCAGCUUCCUGAGUGGCUGGGACUACAGGCUUGACAACACACCCGGCUAUCCCGUGUAUAUUUCUUGAGGGCUUAUGAUAUAUAAGAGAAACUCCAAAAUAAGAGGACGGUGUGCUAAGGGGAAGACCAAAGCACUAUCAAGAGGUAGAUUCAAUCGUACCCCUUCUAUUUACUAGUUGUGUGACUCUUUUGAAAAUGAGAAUAAUAGGCCAGGCUCGGUGGCUCCUGCCUGUAAUCCCAGCACUUUGGGAGGCUGAGGCAGGUAGAUCACCUGAGGUUAGAAGUUCAAGACCAGCCUAGCCAACAUGGCAAAACCCCAUCUCUAUUAAAAAUACAAAAAUUAGCCGGGAAUGGCAGCAUGUGCCUGUAGUUCCGGCUACUCAGGAGGCUGAGGCAGGAGAAUCACUUGAACCCAGGAGGCAGAGGUUGCAGUGAGCCGAGAUUGCGCUACUGCACUUCAGCCUGGGUGACAGCGAGACUCCAUCUCAAAAAAAAAAAAAAAGGAAGAAAAGAAAAGAAAAUGGGAAUAAUAAAACUUACUUACUGGAGCAGUAGCAAAGAUUAAAAUUUAGACCAUGCAGAAGAAUGUUUUUCAAAAUGACAUGACCUGGUAAUAGGAUAGAAAUGCAAAUUCCUGUUACUGCACCAGACCCACCAAAUAAGAAACUCUGGGGAUGGGACCCAGGACUAAGUACUUUAAUAAGCACUCCAGGUGAUUCUAAUGAUUGUUAAAGUUUGAGAACCACUGGUCUAACACAUUGCCUGGUACAUAAGCUCUUAUUUUGUUGUUAUUGUUCUAAGGACAAUGUGUGUAUUGACUUCUAUUUCCAGGAGUUCAUGACUUGGAGAACUAGGGAAAGGAAGACAAAAAUUCUUUAAUGCAGAACGAUACUGAUUGAUAAAUACCUGAAUAUAAUACAGGUUAAAUGUGCUUUGAAGAUUUAUAAAAGGUUGAAUUUAUUUCCAGCAAGAUGACUCUCAGAAGCCUUUAUAGAUUAGAGAAGAAAUGGAAAGGGGUAAAAAUAAUUAGGAACUAUAAAGCAGGGCAGACAAGUUUUCAAUGGUUACUGCCAAUGUGUAUACAGAAAGUUAGCUUGGCCAGGCAAAGUGGCUCAUGCUUGUAAUAUCAGCACUUUGGGAGGCCAAGGCGGGCAGGUCACCUGAGAUCAGGAGUUUGAGACCAGCCUGACCAACAUGGUGAAACUCUAUCUCUACUAAAAAUACACAAUUAGCCCAGCAUGGUAGAGCAUGCCUGUAAUCCCAGCUACUCAGGAGGCUGAGGCAGGAGAAUCGCUUGUACUUGGGAGGCAAAGGCUGCAGUGAGCUGAGAUCGUGCCAUUGCACUCCAUCCUGGGAAACAAGGGUGAAACUCCGUCUCCAGAAAAAAAAAAGUUACCUUGAAAUAUAUCAAUACAAACAAAUAAAUUAGAUAUUUCAUAUUGUACAGGAACAAAACCCAUCAGAAGAUGUCAGAAGAUAAGGAUUUUUGUCCUGAUGCUACACUUACCAGCUGUCCCUCAGUGUUCUACUUCUUAAAAAAAGAGAGAAAAGAAAAAAUAAAUAAUCAAAUGUAAAGUUAGCACAUAAAGGAGGCAUGUACAUAUUAUUAAAAUCUAUAUGACUACCUCUCCUUUUUCAUUUUUGGCUCAAUAUCUGUAUCUGAACACCUAAUUAAUGAAAGGAAAACAUUUGUAAUAUGUAGCAACUAAAAUGUCACCUUCUCUGUGGGGAUCACAAAGUCCUUGGCAAUCACUUCCAUACCAGACAAGUGAGUAUUGUCCUUCUCCUUUUCCAGAUGGAUAAACAGAGGCAACCCGAGGAUAAAGGCCUUGCUCAGUGUCACACAUUUCAGUCACUAAAUAAGACACAAUGGAUGCCAGUAUUCUCAUCCCCUCACAAAUAAAGAGCCUUCAAGCUCUUGCAGUCAACAAGAACUUUUGGAAUGAUUUCACUGCCUGAAAAGGCAGAUACAUAGGUGACACCCACAAAUAGGAAGAAAAUCAACCUGAACCUGAGUGUGUGGGCUCACUGACUCUAAGCAGUAGAGACAGAAGAAAAAGUUUUAGCAAAGAAGGGUUCUGAAAGAAAAUAAAUAUAGCUCGUUAUCAAGUGCUGUUUUUACACAGUAAAACAUGGGCAAAAUUACUCUUCUUUAAGUAGUAAUUCUUAUCUCUUGAUUAAGUCACCUACUCAUUCAUUUAAUAAAUACAUACUGAUUGUUUUCUAUGUGUUGAGCACUCAUCUCUGUAUUGGAAAUAUAAUAAUGACCAAAGUUGACAAUAGUAAUAACAAUAAUAGCUAAUAUAGCAGGCACUAAUAAUUAUUUGUUGAGUAAUAUGUCAAAAUUCAGUGUGAACAGCAUUCUAUUUGGGGCUGCAUCCACUGACUAUAACACAGCUAAUCUAUCUGAAAUGUUCCAGCUUUGGGCCUCUCUAACAGAAGAAGCUGUUGUUGGGCCUGCCUCUAGUUGGCGAUGCAUCCACCAAUGAGAAUGAAUUUAUGAUCGACCACUCUUCCUGUAAAGGCCGCUGGAACUGACAGCAUUGUGAUUUUCUUUUACUGUUAGUUUUAAAUUACUAGAACCAACUCAAUUACUAGAACGAACUUUACUUCUUUGUUUCCUACUUAUCAAAACAGUAAAAACAACAAGUAAAAGAAAUGCCAUCUUAAUAUUGUUUUGAUGACAAAACAGUAUUCCUUUUAGUUGUGCUUCAAAUGGAAUAAGAUGCAAACAGGCUUGGUAUGGUGGCUCACCCCUGUAAUCCCAGCCCUUUGGGAGGCCAAGGUGGAAGGAUUGCUUGAGGCCAUGAGUUUGAGACCAGCCUGCGCAACAUAGCAAGACCGUGUCUCUACAAAAAAUAAAAAAUUAGCUGAGUGUAGUGGUGUGUGCUUGUGGUCCCAGCUACUUUUGAGGCUGAGGAGGGAGAAUCUCUUGAGCCCAGAAGGUCGAAGUUGCAGUGAGCCGUGAUCGUGCCAUUGCUCUCCAGCUUGGACAACAAAGCAAGACCCUAUGUCAAAAAAUAAAUAAAUAAAAGACAUAAACAUAUCUGAGAUUAACUUUCAGUGGUAAAUUUGUUCCAUAUAUGAUUUUUAAGGUUAAAUGCUUUGGAAGCUUUAAAAACCAUUUCAGCCCUUUUAAAUGCCAACUUACACUGAUGAUGCUCUCAGAUGUUAGGAAAUCUUUUGAGCAGAAAAUGGAAGUGGGGGUGUUGAGGCAGGGAGGAGAGUGAUGCAAUAUUCCUUAGUGUCAUCCUGUGAUUUCACAAUUUGUUUUUCAAUCUGUUUGGACUUUCAAAAGGGAAGACUCUCAUAUGUCAACAAGCCCAUGAACUGAAGCUUAAAACACUGGAAACAACAACUGUAGAGUUUCAAGUAUAUGUACAUUUAUGUAUUCAUGUUCCUUGAUGGGAAUGCUGGCUGGUGUGAAUGUUCAAUCUCCUGAGAAAUGUAAAUUUUUCUCUGACAGAUUUAUUAGCUUGCUGUAUCUGAGCACAUGAGCAAAAACAAUGCCUAAUAAGAAAACUUUCUCUCUCCUUCAAAGUCAAACUUGGGAGAAAUGAAGGGAAAUCGAGUUUUCUUUGCUUGACAGUGUUCAACAUUCUUGUAGUCAGUGUGCUCAUGAAGAUUGCAAACUUUUUUUUUUUUUUAGAGCAGCUAGGACUACAGGCGCGCACCACCACACCCAGCUAAUUUGUGUAUUUUUAGUAGAGAUGGGGUUUUAACUAUGUUGGCCAAGCUUGUCUCAAACUCCUGACCUCAAGUGAUCCAUUCGACAGCUCUUUCUUUUUUUUUUUUUUUUUUGAGACAAAGUCUCGCUCUGUCACCCAGGCUGGAGUGCAGUGGUAUGAUCUCAGCUCACUGCAACCUCCGCCUCCUGGGUUCAAGCAAUUCUCAUGCCUUAGCCUCCCGAAU